rnacentral:misc_RNA from 1 species
GUCGAUUAACAAACAUCACAUGUCAUACGGCGAAGGCUCCUCGAAACAAAUACAAAGUCAUGACUAACUCGUGAAGACAAACAGAGAAGCAAUGUCGACGAACCAUCACAUUGGGACAGAAUCACAACGUAAGACAUAUUCCAGACUUAAACAACCAAACGAAAUAUGAUACCUCAUGUUGACAGCACCACAAACCACGACUCAACUCCAUAAAGAAAAUUUAAAAUAAUAAAGAAAAAUGGGACAUGUACCUUUCUCGGAGCAGCGGAACAGGGAUGACGGCGAGCAGACGACGAUGACUUCCCCACGCGACCCACGGC